UGGGUGAGUAACGCGUGGGUAACCUGCCCUUAAGUCUGGGAUACCAUUUGGAAACAGAUGCUAAUACCGGAUAAAAGCUACUUUCGCAUGAAAGAAGUUUAAAAGGCGGCGUAAGCUGUCGCUAAAGGAUGGACCUGCGAUGCAUUAGCUAGUUGGUAAGGUAACGGCUUACCAAGGCGAUGAUGCAUAACCGAGUUGAGAGACUGAUCGGCCACAUUGGGACUGAGACACGGCCCAAACUCCUACGGGAGGCAGCAGAC
rnacentral:rRNA from 1 species